rnacentral:rRNA from 1 species
GACGAACGCUGGCGGCGUGCUUAACACAUGCCAGUCGAACGGAAAGGCCCUGCUUUUGUGGGGUGCUCGAGUGGCGAACGGGUGAGUAACACGUGAGUAACCUGCCCUUGACUUUGGGAUAACUUCAGGAAACUGGGGCUAAUACCGGAUAGGAGCUCCUGCUGCAUGGUGGGGGUUGGAAAGUUUCGGCGGUUGGGGAUGGACUCGCGGCUUAUCAGCUUGUUGGUGGGGUAGUGGCUUACCAAGGCUUUGACGGGUAGCCGGCCUGAGAGGGUGACCGGCCACAUUGGGACUGAGAUACGGCCCAGACUCCUACGGGAGGCAGCAGUGGGGAAUAUUGCACAAUGGGCGGAAGCCUGAUGCAGCAACGCCGCGUGCGGGAUGACGGCCUUCGGGUUGUAAACCGCUUUCGCCUGUGACGAAGCGUGAGUGACUGUAAUGGGUAAAGAAGCACCGGCUAACUACGUG